GUUGAACGCUGGCGGCAUGCUUUACACAUGCAAGUCGAACGGCAGCGCGGGGGCAACCCUCUCGGCGAGCUGCGGACGGGUGAGUGGUUCAUCGGAACGUCUCCUCGUGUGGUGGAGAGCCCGGCGACGGUUGGGCUCAUACCCCAUUAGCUCUGAGGAGGAACGCGGGGAACCUGCGAGGGCCUCGCGCUGGCGGGACGGCCGAUGUCCGGUUAGCUAGUUUGAGGGGUAAAGGCCUAACAACGCGACGAUGAGUAUCUGGUAUUAGAGGAUGAUCAGCCACACUGGGACUGAGAACAGGCCCCGACUCCUAAGGGAGGCCGGAGUUGGGAAUUUUGGACAAUGGGGGCAACGCUGAUCCAGCCAUGCCGCGGGAGUGAAAAAGGCCUUCGGGUUGUAAAGGUCCUUCGGACGGAACGAAAUGGGAGCGACUAAUACCCCUGCCUGAUGACGGUACCGCAAGAAGAAGCACCGGCUAACUACGUG
rnacentral:rRNA from 1 species